GGUCGAUUAGCUCAGCCGGGAGAGCAUCUGGUUUACACCCAGAGUGUCGGCAGUUCGAUCCUGUCAUCGACCA
rnacentral:tRNA from 1 species